UCAAUUCUCUAGCCCUAAUUCUUGUUUUUAAUAAGUGACUAUGAAAAUCCAGUACCCCUCAUCUGUGUGUGGUUUCCCCACUUAAAAAAUAAGACGGUUAGAAUUUGAGGACUAGAAAACGCUUCUAGGUUAAAUAAACCCAAACUUGUCCUAGAGGCAAGGAGGAUUAUACCUAUGUUCUCCUAAAUUUAAAUCUUAUUUAGGAGACUAGAGGAAGCUCAAUUAUGAUGAUAAUGUGUUUAGGUCUCACAUGACAUUCCCACAUAUACAUUGGUGUUAUGGUCAUUACUAAAACAAAUAGUACACCCAAAUCCCGACUAUCUGACUGUGGAUUAUCCACAGAUUUAAAAUUCGGACUAGUAAGCACCUAACCUCAGAAAUCACUUCCACACAACACCACAUCUACUUUGGGCUUUGUGAUGUCAUGUAUAUUCACAUGACUUUAAUCAUGUGAUUAACUUCCAGAAUACAGGUCUCAUCCAUUCAGAUAAAUCCCUCUACCCAAAUAGAAAGAAACUGAGUGUCCACUAGUAAACCCUUCCCCAAGUUCUGACAACGGUAGUCACCAUGGUCUCAGAAGUUCCUAAUGAUUCUCUGGGUUCAAGCAAUCCCCAUGCAUCCACUAGAGAGAGUAGAGCAUUUUUUGUAAACAGCUAGUUUCCUUCUGGUUCCAGAUACCCCACUGGUUUCCCUCCAGGCUGAAGUCCCAGUCAGUCGGGAAGGGGUGGGGGCAGAGCAGGAAGCUGAACCUCCUCCAAAGUCACGUAAAAGUACAGCUUAGGGAGCUAGGACUUAAAACUCCCUUAGUUAGGUACAGACCUUUUGUUCCCUCACUCUGCCACAGUCCUUGCCAGACUUCAGAAGAUAGUCCGAGGGCAGGGGAGGAAACAAGUUUUGGAAUUUGGAAACAAGAAGGGAAGUCCUGCCUCUUUAAGGUUUCUGAUUUGGUAGAGGGGAUGGAUUGUUGACAAAAUGCAGGUGCUGCUUGGGAUUCUUCUCACUUCUAUGGAACCAGCUCAAAGACAGACCCAUGCCCACUUGAGCAAAAAAGUUUGAUCAGACCUCUGGUUUUCCUGACUUCGAACUUCUGAAAUCUUCUAUGGUCAGUUCCUUCUUACAAUCCUCAGCUUCUUCACAUCACAAUUGUUUUCAAUCACUCCCAUCUUACAAGACUUUCCAUUUAGAAUUCCAUACAGCACCACUACCACUAUCAUCCCAUUUUCCCUUCCCAUCCUAUCUCAUACCCCCCACAUAAGUCAUUCUCUCUGAGUUUGGGUAACCCUUCCAACAUAAACCCCUUCCUCCUUCAAUCCCCAGACCACCUCAUACAUUUUUUCUCAAACACUCUGAUCGGAUCAGAGAAUGUGAGAGCAGAAACCUUUGAGAUCAUUAGUUCUACCUUCUUCCUCUAACAUCCAAACAGCCUCCUGGUUCCUCCCAGCAUCACCUUUAGACUGAGCUCUGUGUCCGCAGUCAAGAUGCUACAGGUCUCCUCUAUUCCCCGUUGCCAUGCAGACCAGAAGAUGCCUCUGAAGCAGCCUCUGAACUUGUCCUCCUUCCAUACACCCUGCUUUGGGCUGCUGUGACACUUUUUUCACUCUCCAGCCCCACCAAGACUGUUCCCUCACCCUUACUCCUCCCCUUCCCUCCCCUUCUGAAUCUCAGGACAACAUCAAAGGCCCAGGCAAAAUCCAGCCUAAACAGCAAGAGACAAUUCAACAACCUAAACAAUUCAAACCCAAAUCUGACUUGCAUUCCUCUCUCCUCAAUGCUCCAUAACCUCCAUACCUCAGGAGAAGAGCUAUUCCAAAAGAACCAUAUUUCGGCAGAAGCUUCACCUCACUCUGCCUUGGCUCGACAUCCAGCACCUCACCCAACCCAUAAAGCAGGAGCUUCUAUCGCCACAGCAGAAGCCGCCUCGGUAACCACUGAAAGAACCCUGAUUUUUGUUAGGUUAGAUUAUUUUCAGUCAGUCAUGAGAGGGGUUUGUAUGUGGUUUGGUUCACCUCCCCCUUAACAAAUCUCCUGGCUUCCCUCUUUCCCUUCUCUCUCUUUCCUGUCCUCCCCAAAUUUCUGCUCUGAAUAAAGCUGAUGGCUCCAUGGGAUAGAUCAUAAUUGCAAUUUUAUUUCCCAAGUCCAGCAUCAUCAGGAAUAUAACUUUUGAGUUCCCUUCUCCUACUGGAUCACAGGGUAAUAAUGCCCUACCCCGUGAUCUGGCUUAUUGGCUCCAGGGGAGCAGAAUGUGCCUGGGGCAGCUGGGCAAAGUUCUUGGCAGCUGUGAGCAGGGUCUCAUUCCUGAGUCGGCCCCGCCCCUAACUCUAAUAUGUUUAUCCAGAUCAGAACCCUGCUGUGACAGCAACUUUCAGUACCAGACUUUCUUUUCUCCUUGAAGAGGGGGCUUCCUGCUGAGGAUGGGGGAAUCAGCAUCAUGGACUUAACCAGAAUCAGUCUCUUCCUAUCAAAAAGCUUCAGAGAAGAGUGUACAGGAGCAAAUCAAGCUUCAGGACCUCUUCCACUGCACCGUCAUUCAGCUGUCUGUUCUCCAAAGUGCCCUGAUUUCAAGGCAGUACUGGUCAUGGUCUCUUGAGAUUCUCAUGUAGUUCUUCUCAUUCCCCACAUUUGAACCUGGAAACAGUAACCACUUUCAGAGAUACAGCUCCAGCUAGCUUGCACCAUCUUCAAGGAAGUAUAAAAGCUGGAACUUCAAAAUCAGUGGAAGAGAAGAAAGCAAUCAUGUGUGCUUAAAUAUAUAGAUCACAGGGACUUGUGACCUGCAAAUGAAAAAUCACUCAAACUCCUGAGGGGAAGGGAACUACCUACUAAGUUCUUCCACACCAGCAUCAAUGGAAAUAUUUAGGGCUUACAAGUUUCAUGCUGCUUGCCCUGGGUGCCACAUACAACACUGGAGAAAGAAUAGGACAGAAGACAAGGCAGGUCAGGGUCCAGCUACAACCUGACCAAAGAUAUGGGAUCCAGCCACAUAACCUGAGAAUUCAAAGGCAAGAAAAUCGAAAAAGAACUGGGAGAUAGAAGACACUAGUUCCUAUCUUUCUCCUUCCUAUUAAUAGAUGCCUGAUCUCGGGCCCCAUCAAUAAGACAGGAAAAAUACUUGCCCUCUCUGGAGAGAAAAGGUAAAAUGAGAUGCAUCACUCUGUUUAAAAUACGUGUAUGUAUUCAUAUAUGUAUAUAUGUAAAUUUUUUGCAGAACACAUUUUUGUAUUUAAUAUAAAUGUCUUAACAGUGCUUUUUACAUUACUGUUUUUCCAUUGAUUCUUGUUCUCCCUAUAUAAUGGUUCUCACCCUUGUAACAAAGAAGUAAAGUUAGACAAAUCAAUACUUUUGCUGUUGUUUGGUCAUUUUUCAGUUGUGUCUUAACUCUUUGUGAUCCCAUUUGGGUUUGGUUUUGUUUUUUGGCAAAGAUAUUGGAGUAGUUUGCAAUUUUCUUCUCCAGUUGAUUUGACACAUGAUGAAACUGAGGGUAAAUGGGGUUAAGUGACUUGUCCAGGAUCACACAACUAGCAAGUAUCUGAGGCAGGAUUUGAACCUCAGGUCUUUCUGACUCCAGAGUUCCAUCCAUUAAGCCACUUAGCUGUCUCAUGAUAACAUUAGUUAGCAUUUUAGAGUUUGCAAAAGGCUUUAUCUUAUUUAAUACUCACAAGUGCUAUUAUUGUCCUCAUUUUGCAGAGGAGGAACCACUCUUGAGAGGCUAAGUGACUUGCCUAUAGUCACACAACUAAUAAAUGUGUGAGGUGAAAUUUGAACUCAAGAGCUCUAUCAAUAUUGCAUUGUCACCUAUCUGUCUUAUCUUAAUCUUCCAUCUUAACCCUAUCUCUGUUAAGAAUCAACUCCUCUCCACCUUCACUGGCUUGAAAUCAUGAUCUGUGUUCACUGUAAUUGUGACUCGCUGUGUUUAUCAGAGGUCAGAUGAUCUUCCCAGGCCCUUCUAUCUUCCAUUUCUGUGAUUCUGUAGCUUUUCAGUCUCUUUUUCCUUCUCCUGUCUACUUUUCAGUGCUGGAAGAGGCAUUUGUGUGAUCUUAUCAAAGCAAUAAUUAAUAAUUUGGGAACCCAGGGUAAAUAGGAUAAAACAUACCUCUAAGCCUUUUUUUUUUUUUUUUUUUUUUUUUUUUUUUAAGACAAAGUCAAUUCAGGGUACAGUUGGAAAGCAAUCCUGGACAUGAAGACAAAGAUACUGGGACACCAGACCCUUAGGCAGAAAUCCCCGGUCUUAGAGAGGUUAUAGGAUGCUAUAGGGAAGAGUUGGUGCAAGUGAGGACAAUGGAGAAUGUACUUGGAAUGUGGCCAUGGAAGGAGAAGGAAGACGUGUGCCAUACAGUAGCCAGGGGCAGGCCCGGCAAGAGGGUAACCAACAUUAAGUAUUUACUAUGUGUCAGGCACUGGGCCAAGUUCUGAAGACACAAACAGAAUAAACAAGAAAAAAAGAAGAGAUCAAGACUUCUUAGAGGUCAAGAGACUUUGACUUCUAGGAGCUGACAUUCUGUGGAGGAAGAUACCAGAAAGGAAGUUUAAAAACAGAAGCAGUAAAGAAAGUGACCUUUGAGGAGGUGGGGGCAAAGUCUGUAACAGAAGCAAAGCUUGACUGGGCCAAUUCCUGAGGUGACAGAGGAUGGCAAAGCAAGGUCAGCAAAGGGAUGCUUCCUGAGGAGAAGGUUGGGGAAGGCCAGGGGUUUGGGGAAGGAAGAUGGCUGGCCUGGGUUUAUUCCCAAAAUGAAGGUCCCAGAAAGAACUCAUUGGGGGAGAUGUUACAAGGUCAGAAAGCCCCAGGCACCCACAGAAACUAAGGUUAAUUGUUGCAAUGCAGUUGGAAGGAAUAUAAAUAUUUGUGCCAUCUAAAAUUCAGGGCAAAGCCUGAUUUUACCCUGCCCUAAUUAUAGCAGCUAGAGUGCAUAGUGGAUAGGGCCACUGGGCCUAGAAUCAGGAAGCCCUGAGUUCUCAGAUAAGUACUGGCUGUGUGACUGGGCAAGUCACUUAAUCCUGUCUGACUCAGUUUCUCAUGUAAAAUGACUUAGAAAAGAAAAAGGUAAAUCACUCGAGUAUCUCUGCCAAGAAAAUCACAAAUGGGGUCAUGAAAAAUCAGAUGGGACUGAACAACCACAAUUACAGUUCUGAUCUCAAGAAGGUUUUGAAAAUCAUGCUCUCUGUGUUCCUUAUAGUCUGCUGGAGGCUUUGCAUCUUCACUGUAACAGAUAAAAUUUGAUUUCUUACACACAAACACAAGACCUAGAGAUGAUCAUGGAUUAUUUUUUAGUAAACUUGAUUUUUUAAAAUGUUGUCAUAGUUUUCCCCAGUAUUCUUUUCCUUCCCUGCCUUAUAAUAACUUAUAAUAAAAAGCCAACUAUCAAUACAUUCAAAAAGUCUGGAAAGAUGUGUAAUAUAUAAAGCCUGUGGAUGUUCCAUCCUUACAAAAGGGUGGAUUAGGAGUAUUUUGUUAUAUUUUUCUUUCAUGCCAUGCUUGCUUUUUAAUAAUUCUGUAACAUUCACUUUUGAUUUUUGGUGUGAAGUUGUUCUUUCCAUUUAUAUAUCAACAUAGUUGCUGUGUAUGUUUUCUUGCUGUUAUUUUACUCUGCUUCAGUUUAUAUAGAUUUUUCUAUGCUUCUCUGUAUUCAUCACAUUCAUCAUUUCUAAAAGCAUAGUAAUAUUCCAUUACUUCUAUGAACCACAAUUUGUUCAAUGAGCAUUGAUUAUUUCCAAAUUUUUGCUAUUACAAAAAGUACUUUAAUAAGUCAGUUGGUAAGUAAUUAAGGGCCUAUUAUGUGUUAGCAUUAAACCUGUGUUAAAAUUGCCUGAUGACUAUUAAAAAGUAUUCUCAUUGCAUUUGGAACAGUAGGAUAAAGGGUCCUGGAAUUGGAGACAGGAGAAGCCUUGAUUUAAAUCCUGAUUUCAUACUUAAUAAGCUAUUUUUAACAUGAAUAAAUCACUUAAACUCU